GGACUCGUAGCCUAGCCUGGUGGUUUUUUUCUUUAUAAUAACCAUGUAAAUAGGGCGUCAGACUUCUAAUCUGAAUGUCGCAGGUUCGAAUCCUGCCGAGUCCG
rnacentral:tRNA from 1 species